CUAGGGUUGACAGGAGCAACAAGGAGCAAUUGGAGCAGUCAGCCAUAUUGGGAGUUCAACCAGCAGCAGAAUUGAGACAAGAUGAAUUUGAUUCAAGAUGACGGUAUUGAACUCGAAAGGUAUUGGGAAAUAAACAUCAGUCAACAGCAUGUAGAUCAAAGAGCAUUCUUGCAUUUUCCUACAAUAAUAAGUAAGGCUUUCUUAACACCGCAACAACGACGCAUUAGUAUGGUUCUUCAGAACACAAAUAUUUCCGUUGAUUGUGAAAUUCGAAUGGCCGCAAGAAAUCAACAU